GGCAGAAGCCACUCAGGCUAGCCAAGGAGAUUGCCCAUGAACCACACCCCAAGGCCAGUUAAGCCUUGAGGGAGGAAGAAGACACAGGCAAGUCAUCCUUGGCUAUUAGAGAUAAAGCUUCUGC
rfam:Triticum aestivum genome assembly, contig: Triticum_aestivum_CS42_TGACv1_scaffold_130048_2BL